UGUGUUCACGGACUAUCUUGUAACGAACUCAACGUCACCACAAUACCGGAAACGGAAGCGGAGUAAGACGUAAGGAACAGUCACGUGAUGGAAAAAAGCACAUAGAGAAAGCGGAAAAAAGGAAAAGGUCAUGUGAUAAAAAAAAAUGCCUCAAUAAUUUAAACGAUGUGAUUAUGAACCAUACGUUGCAAUGUAUUGACCUUAAUCUGUGGUUUGUUAAUAUUUUUAUUAGUUGAAUUGAUCGUUUAUAUGUAUAUUUAUGUACAAACAUUUUAUGAGAUGCAAUAUAUGUUGGUAUUGCAUUCGUUUUGAAGAAUUUACAUCGUUUUUUCUAUUUCUCAAAUACUUUGACUGCUCACUUCAUAUUAGGCUGAUAAAUAUAUUUGACUUUUAUGAAUGGAUAUCACACAAAAAACCCCCAGGAAAUCUACCAACAUUUACUUUCGAGUACAAUAUUACUUCUUGAUAAGAAUGAUUUAUAAUAGAUACAUUGGUUGGUAACUAUUGAAUAAAACUACUACCGUUGAACUAAUAUUUAUCCGAAUAUUCGUAAAAUUAACAUUAUCGCUUUAUUAUUUUCAACUGUCAAAGGAACAAUAAGAGGGAAAAGGUAGAAUUUCUGCCGGCAGGUUUUUUUUUUACAUAAUUGGGAUGUCUUUAUCUAAGACGUUAUGUUUCGUUUCUAUGAUAAAUAUGAUAAACAUGUACAUAAUU
rnacentral:misc_RNA from 1 species